rnacentral:lncRNA from 1 species
CUUGUUGCUCAUCCGUUCCACAUAUAAGAGCUUGUCUGCUGGCCCCAGCUUGCACUCCAUCCUGCCCUGCUCCCCUGCCCCUUGGCCACCUGUCUGUUCUCAUGGAUAAGCUCGUCUGUGUCAUGCUUUAGCUUCCAUAUAUCACAUAUAAGUGAUGUCAUGUGCUCUUAGAGCCAGGCUCAGAGUUUUCAAAACCAGACCUGGUCCCUGGAGAGGCCCCACUGCAGGCUCCUCCAUCGCCUACUCUGAACACUGCCCAGAGUGAAGGGUCUGCACACCAUUCUUCUUGCACUCAGCCUCCAGUGGUCACCCCAGCAUGUGACACGCACGGUGAUCUGAGAAUCCUGAGCAGAAGUUUGAACGUCACCCAGCUUUC